UCCCGGGUGCCACAUUUGUUUAUUAGGCAUGAACAUGACUAGCCUGCUCGCUGAUUGGCUAGUAGUCGUUACCUUCGUUGGGAUUGUUGUAAAUGAAUCUGGCUAAACCAUAGACUGUAUAUAUAAGUAUGUAUAUAAGGGCUAAACAGGAGGUGUCGUUUUUAAAUCAGCCUGAAAAAGAGUUAAAAUAAGAAUGUCAGGGUAAGCCAAUCAGAGGCAGAAUAAUGUAGAGUAGGGCGGGGAAUGCCUUCUUUGCCAUCCUGGGAAAAGAAUACUCGCAUCCCAAGCAAGUAGCUUGCUAGCUAGACAUCGAAAGCGACAUCCGUACGAACUUCGAAGCAGCAACUGCACACCAAAGAGAUGAUGUCCAUUCGUCAAAAGAUUAUAUUGAGAAAGGAGUUGGAAUUAUGCUAUUUACUAAUUGCCACAACUGUUCUCUGUAAACCUGGCAACAGUUGUCUGAGAGUUUUUCACUGUCAGACAACUUUCACUGAAGCCUGGGCCCCCUGUCCGAAAAUGCGACAUGGCACCCCACCGCUCAGCAACCGCUGGGGUCAGGUGUGCUGCCACAUGGGCGGCAGUGAAGGUCAGGGGCCUUGAUGGACCAAACCUGGGCGGCAGUAAUGGAGCGCUGGAGUUAAAUUCAUGCAUGUGUAUGAGUGUUUUAAUUUAUUUACAUACAUUUAUGAUGUCUCAAUAUCUUCUCAAUGUCUUCUCAGAUGAAGGAAAUCCUUUAAAGUGAGGAUAUUUUUCAGGUCUUUACAGGUUAAGUGUAAACAUUCUUGAAUUCAAAACCCCAUCGUUUUUAAGUUUCAUGAUGUGUUUCAAAAAUGUAUCAAUUAAAGGUUCAACAUAUAAACGA